UGAAGGCGUUCCUUACAUCUAAGGAUAAC
rnacentral:sRNA from 1 species